CAGAGCUUGAAAUUAGUUUAUAUUUAAUAUGAGACUUUAUCACUAUUGAUUUUUGUCUGCCUUUUUCUUGGAACAAGUUACAACAUUAUGUCUAGUUAUGACAACUUUUAAAGACUGGUAGUUUAUAAUACAAAAUUAGCAAAUGUAUAGAAGGAAAUGUAUAGCCAGUGGAUAUGGCAUCAUUUGUAGUUUGUGUACAUUUAUCUUUAUCAUUAGGUUUUGGUUUUUUUUUUAUUUCACAAACUAAGAGUAAAUCAUUGGCCAUUUCCCAAAUCUCUGGGAAUUAACAGCACCAAUUUAUCCUGGUUACUAAUUACAAGAGGGAGCAGGACUCUCGGAGACCGAUCAGUCCGGCUGUUUCUUUGCAGAUAAAUGGGUCUGGCGUGAGAGUAGGGACAUUGCUGUUGGGCUGUGAUUUGUAUCAUGUUGUUUUUAUUGCAGACCCUUUUGUCCUGCCCCAUGUUGCCCCUGACUCCUAGUUUGAGAAGACGCUGAGCUAUGAGCGUGAAGGAGAACCUUGGGAGGGCCUGUUGUAUCAGCUUUCUUGGGAGAGAUGGGACUAAAUUAUUUUCCAAUAACACACCGACUGAAGAACCAGUUUGACCCAAGUCCAGCCUGGUGAACCACUGAGUUUAUUAGAUCUACUUCAGGAGCGUGGAUUAUACUGAGAUAGCUGCUUCCCUGAAAAGACCCAGCCCAGCAGGUGACAGCUGCCAAAAGCUGCAUGGAUAGAGUCCCUUCUUUGUCCCCUUGUCCCUGCCCUUCCCAAGGCUCUGACCAGCUGGGGCAGGAUUACUGACAGCUGGGAGAAGGGGCAGGAGGGAACAUGGAACAGAAUCUCUGAGGAGGGUCUAAUGACCCUCCCACCCCCUUCCUCCCCAGGAGCAUCAACAGCUCCUCUCAUCAGAAGUCUUAUUGGAAGUCCCAGCUGCUCCAAUUUAGAGGGUAUUGGUCAUGCUGUGCCCAGAAACAUCUCCCAACAGCUGGGGGUUCUCAACUUGAAGCUGCUCCUUUAAGUGGUUUGAAUUCUCCGAUAAGAGCUUCCUGGAGGGAGGGCUACAGGAGAUCAUCACCUGUCACUUUUGAACAGAUCCGUGCAGAACCCCAGAUUAGAAUGUAAACGACGUUAAUCUUAUUUCAGAACGGAGAACUUGUCCAAGCUUUGUCUAAAGCUAGGAAUUCGAGUUUUCGGGAGAGCAGAUCUCUCCAAACCUGAGGCGGGUUUCUGUGGGUUGAUUUUUGUCUGACACCUUUUCCUGAGGACACAUGAGUGGAUACGUUUCCUGAAAAGGAAGCAUUGUAGGUUGGAAAUGGAGAUUGUGAAGAGUAAACUGAAGGUGUUAACUGUUCAGCCUUGACUGGACCAGAUCUGAAACAGUCUGGCUAAUUAAAAUAAGAUUUUUUUAAAACAGUGCCUCUGCGGCUGGCCUUCCUUCUCCCUAACCUGCCCGCUCCAUUUCUGAGAUUACUAUUGUGGAGGAAAAGCGAUAACUUGGGUUCCCAAAGCAGAGAUUCCUCUCUCGAUCUUUCCUGUCGCCCGCAAAGGCUGUGCACUUCUCAGUGAAGGAAGUGGUAGAGAUCGAUGGUAGAAGAAGAGUUAAAUUAAAAUUCCCCAGCAGUCCUCAGCUCAUGCUAGGUAGACAUGAUAAAGUGGGUCACAUGACCAGAAACUUGUGAGGAAGCCCUAGGUUGGCAUGGCCUGCAGCCCACAGGACUCCUAGGAAACGCUAGAACCCAGCCCCAUCUUCAUACUGAAAACAGAGUCCCAGGCGCAGCACCCCUCUGUUCCCCAGACACACACGUGCCUCAGCUCUUGCCUGGAGAGAAGAUGGCUCCUCUCCCUGCUCCCUGCCGGUGGGUGCUACCUUUGAGUGAGCCAGGGCUUCUUAUGCAGGUUAAUAAAAGCACACCUCAGGUAGACUGGUUGCUCUAACACCGUGGCUGUUCUUGAUAUUUCCCACACACUUAACUCAGCACCAUUGAGAACAUAGGAACAAGUUUGACUUUGUGCCACCUGGCCCACACUCUAAAUUGGUCUUAGAGGGUGUUUGUCACCAUGGAAAAAUCGAUAUGAGCCACCCCAUUGAAAUGCCUGCCACUCUCCAGAGCCGGAGGGAGGCCUCGUGGGUGCUGGAGUAACUGGGUACGCUCUUAAGAACUCAGUUGGACUUCUGCUGGCAUCCUCUGGGUCUGUUUUCUUGUCUCCAGGUUAAAGUUGCUUCCAACCCUGAUGCUUUUUAUUGUGAGAAGGACCCCUUGCAGCACCUAUAGCCUCCCGGCCUCCCUCCGGUCUGAGAAUACAGUGCUGGGAUCCUAAUUCCUUUGCAGUAGAACUCGGACCCUCAGAUCCUCUGUGUUCUGCUGCAUGAGAUCUCGGCUUGAACAGUUCUCCCCUUAAGGCCAGUGCUUGCUCUUGGUGAGGCUGUCCUGAGCACAUCUGGAGCCUGAAGUGUAAGUCUUACAUAGACCUGUGAAUUAUUGUCAUCUCUUUAAUCUUGGCCUAGAUGUCCUAAACUGUCACUGCACACUUCCAAGACUACAGUGGCCUUCCGUCUCCUGACUAGAGUCUCCGUGGGAGAUAGGCUCUGUGUUCUAAGACCUAUACCUCCAGCCUUGGCCUAAGCACAGAGUCAUGUCUUGGAGGAAAUUGUAUUUGGCUUGGGUUUGGUUUUUCUUUUGUCUUUGUGUGUGUGGUGUGCGUGCCUGUGUGAAGGCAUGCUUACAGGUGUUUGGGUACAUGUGUGGGGGAUCAUGUUUGUAGGGAGCUAGAGCUUGAGGUCUUCUGUCUUCUUCAAUCACCUUUGGCUUUCAUCAGUGAGGCAGGCGUGAGGCCUUGGGCUCUGGAGUGUGGCAGGCAUUUCAAUAGGAUCAAUCAUAUUGAUUUUCCCAUGGUGACAAACACCUUCCAGGGUCUCCGGCUGGAGCCAGCUAGUCAGCUUUCUGCAGAAGUAUUCCCCCAACCCCUGCCCCUGCCCCUGCCCCUGCCUCUGAGCACCGGGUGACAGGCAGGCCAGUUUCCACACUGAGGUUUGUGCUGCGAGCGUUGGAUCUGUCGUCUGUCUUACUGCCCUUCACUUUACAGAUCAGAAGCUGAAUCUCUGAGACCAAGUGACAUAUGCAAAGGCCAAGGAAUGGCAGGUGGCACAGGAGUGUCAGGUGGUACAGGAGUGUCAGGUGGUGGUACAGGAAUAGCAGGUGGUGGUAUAGGAGUGUCAGGUGGUACAGGACUGGCAGGUGGUAAAGGAGUGGCAGGUGGUGAUACAGGAAUGGCAGGUGGUGGUACAGGAAUGGCAGGUGGUGAUACAGGAAUGGCAGGUGGUGGUACAGGAAUGGCAGGUGGUGAUACAGGAAUGGCAGGUGGUACAGGAGUGGCAGGUGGUGAUACAGGAACGGCAGGUGGUGAUACAGGAAUGGCAGGUGGUGGUACAGGAAUAACAGGUGGUGGUACAGGAGUGGCAGGUGGUGGUACAGGACUGGCACGUGGUAUAAAUGAAGAGAACAUUCUGGAUACCUGACUCUCACCUUCAGCAUUACACUACAUUGGUCAGAAAUUCAAAUAAAUUUAUGUUUUAUAAACCUUUAUUUUUAUUUGUAUAGGUGUCUGAAUGUAUAUCUGUGCACCAAAUUUGUCCAAUGUGUGCACCCAUGGGACCCAUUGGAUCCCAUGGGACUGGAGUUAGACAUAGUUAUGAGCCACCACGUAGGUUGUGGGAGUCGAAUCAGGUCCUCUGGAAGACCAACCGGUGACCUUAAUUGUUGGGCCACCUCCCCCCAGCCCAUGUUUAUCUCACUAGGAAGGCUGUAAAGAUCUGCAGUAAUGUUUUAUAACGAUCAAAGAUUAUUCUUGACUGUCAGUUACCCUGGUCCGUUUCCCUAGGGGAGGUUUUAGACAGGAACCUGAGACAUACAUUACCUGCUUCUACUGUCAGAUUUUUACCUUCAAGUGAGAAAAUUGCCCUUAUGGAAACAAUGCUGCUAGUAAAUACAAAAUAACAAGCCAGAUUUCUGGGGCUUGCCAUCACCCCAAAGGUCACCCCAAACUGUACAUUUUGUGUACAGUUGCAUUAACUUUUCUGAUUUUCCAGUUGUCUGUUAGAUAGGCUUCUUUUUACGUUGAUUCUACAGGCACAGUCUAAGUUUUGGCCAGGUAUCCCCAACAUCACCAGUUGCUUGGAAACCUAGAGCCUUAAAGAAUGGUUCUCCUAGUCCUAGCCUGCAAGUUGGGAACUCUCAUAGCUCUACUAGAGAAGUGAGCCGAGGCAGAACCAGAAUUAGACCAUAUCCCAUGUGCACAGGCCAAGAUCAGGACACGGCCAGUGUCUAACAAACACAAAGAAUACUGUAAGGAAUUUUUAUGUCUUUGAAACUGAUGGGAAAGGAAGAGACUCCUGCAUGAGACAGAACCCCAGCUAAGUUCUUACACUAUUUUAUUAGUACAAGUUCCACACUUGAAAACACAAGCAGUCUCACCCUUGCCCGGGGUCUCUCAUUAACUGCUGUGGUGAAGGUUUGAGUUUAGUUUCCCACUUUUGCUGACCUGAGAACUGGAGGGAAACGAAUGAACAGGGUGUUAGUACAAGUGUGCGUAACUACAUGCUAAGUAGUGCAGCUUAAACAUGUUAACGAGCACCACUGGGGGAUCCUCAGUUAUUGUGGUGGACCACAUACCAGCUCCCUCAGUAUCUGCUACUUCCUGGAAAGCCUCGGCACCAGCCUAUGGGGUCAGAGCCUGCAGUACCACGUGGUCUCUGCGCUGGCGGUUCAGUACCACGUGGUCUCUGCGCUGGUGGUUCAGUACCACGUGAUCUCCGCGCUGGUGGUUCAGUAGGCUUGAGCAGCACUGACUACUCACCUUCUGAUUUUGACCUCCCACACUGGCUCCUGGGAGGAUGCGUUACUUUUCUUGAGCUAGGAAACUUGAGAUGGCUGGUAUUGUCAGUUUAUUGGAUUGAAAGCUGCCUAGGGAUGAGUAUUAGGGGAUUUUUUUUUUUCCAGAAAGAUUCAUAUUCAGGGCUAAGGAGAAAAGAUGUGUCCUGAGAGUGGACAGCACCAUUGAGUGGCUGUGUAGCCCACGUGAAGUAAAAUUUGGACUAAGCCAGAGCCACGCCCACAUAUCCACACACACUCCCUGAUCUGACGUCGUGUGAACAGCCAUCCCCCCAACACGUUCCUGCCACGGAGUUCUAUAAAGCUCACAGGCCAAGUAGCCAUGAGCUGAACCUACAGAAAUCGUGAGCCAAAAUAAAUCCUUCCACAAGUUGUGUGUGUUAGGCUAUCACCCCCUGGAUGAGACCAAGUGCCUGUCACUUCCUCUUGUCUGUCAAAAUUGAUGGUUCUUGCUUUGAUUUUAUGUCUGAAGAUAAUUUGUAGUAUUAGUGGUCUUUACAGUUCUUAUUUAUUUGCAGUAAAUACCCUUUUUCAUAUUAAUGUUUGGGAUGGGAAAAAUAAGACCAUUAGCAAUAUAUAAUAAUAAUUUUUUUUUUUUUGCUGGCAUUUACCCACAAAAGGGGCAUUUGAUUUCCUUCCUUUUUGUUCUAAGCAGGAAAUGGUAAAGGAGGUUUUUUUUUUUUAAGCCAAGACAUAAUUAACUGCAAAUUAAACUCUUGCUAAUGUCACCAUUUUCAUCCUGAAAGUCCUUUCAUUCUGCUUUAUCUACCUGAUGAAUUUCAGUUGUCUUAAGAGUGAUUUAACACCGCCAAAUCUUCAUACUUAACAUCCUGCUGGAAUUGCAUUGACUUUUUUUUUUUCAUCUGGAGUUUUCUGAUUACUGAACCUGCUUUUCUUAGCUUGAUUGGCAGUCUUGCCACUGCACUUGGCAGGUGUUCUUGCCUAUGUUAGAGCUGAGAUGCACUCUCUCAGGAUGUAAUGGUCCAGUGCCAUGAUGCCAGGUGCAUACUGGGAAAUCAAGAUAAGCUAGCGGGCCCUUUCCCUUCAACUGAAAAUCCGUAGGAGCCUGGUAUUGCCUGACUGCAAAGUCACCUGCAUUCUCUGAAACCGGGUUAGUCCAUGGGUUCCUGUGGAUGCCUUGUUUAGAGAGGAGAUUGAGGGGGAGGGGACUUUGCCUUUGAAUCCCCACAUGGGAUAUCAAGCAAGGCCUGGAAGAGGAUGAUGUCAUUACUCAUGGGUACAAUUAGCACUGAUGAAGCCCAGACUUCCUCAGACAUGGGAGUUCUCUAAUGCCAUUAGUCUCUGACCAGUAUAAAGAGAGUGGGGCCAGCAGGGUGAUUUUCUUGACAACUCUAAGAAAGAAGAGAGACAGUGGUUGAAGUCUCAUGAGUGAGAAGGCUUGUAAGGUUAUACACUAGCUGUGGUGUAGACAUUCCCUAAUCAAACUCUGGGGUACAUUGUUCUGCAAGUCACUGCAGGGACCCCACUCCUCAUCCUUCAUCAGUAGCCCUGGAAAACUACUGCAGAGGAGGGGAAGAUGGACUAAGCCAGAGUCUGCUAAUAGGCUGAGUGGAACACACUUUCCCAAGCUCCUCUUCCUCCACAGGUCAUGAUUGACUCUUUAAAUACUUUUCUAGCAUAGUAGUUGAGAACCCAGGUUCUGGACCAGCCAUAAGCGAAAUUCUGGUUCCUCGUUGACUGGCUAUAUGACCUUCAUUCUGUUAUGACCUCUCAACUCCUCUUGCCAUCUGUGUAAUGACGUGACAGUGAGGGCAGCGUGGCAUCGUAUGGGAUCUUACCAGAAUGCACAGAAUCCUGGCGGCUGCUCGGUGCUCAGUGACUGUGCAGUGUCCUUUUGUGGCUAAAACCUUAUCCUAUUCGGAAGAAAAAUUUGGGUUCUUGUCCAACCCUGAAAAGAACAGGGCAAAUAACUCAUUACAACUCUGGGCGUGAGCCUGCUUGUUUUGUUUACUGGUUUGCUGGGAGGCAAGAUCUUAGCAUGUAACCAUGAAUAGCCUCAAACUUGCUGUAUAAGCAGGUUGACCUCUGUAGGUCUGGUCUACAUAGAAUUCUAGGCUAGCCUUGAGCAGGGUGAGGCUGUACCUACCUUUAUCCCAGCUGAUGCUGAGGCAAGAGAAUCUCCGUGGACUGAGGGCUAGUCUGGUAUACCUAGAGAGCUCCAGGACAGCUAGGGCUACAUAGACCCUUUACCAAACCCAAGCAAACAAAUAGGAUAGCCUCAAACUCACUGCCGCCCUGAUUGACCCGCGCCAGUGCACCUCGAUCGUCCUCUAGGAACGUUAGAAUCACAGUUCUUACCCAGCUGUUUUCACUCCAUUUAGGAGACUUGCAAUCGGGUUACGGAGAACUGUAAAGCAUUGCCAGCCACUGGCCAGUUUAUUCCAGAUGCAAAUGCUCUUGGUAUGAUGACAAAUGACCCAAACCCCAAAGCCACACUUUAACCAGUUCUCUUCCCUUCUCCCUCCUCACCCCA
rnacentral:sRNA from 1 species